ACUUAGAGGCUAUAAGCUGCAUUAAAUGAAUGCUACUGUGGCAGUUCCUGGUGAAAGGGAUUUUGUGUUUUCCAGUUGUGUGCAAAUCUGGGACAGCUCGUAAUGGGAAAUGAGAUUAAGUAAGUCACGUGGAGCUGGGGUUGCGGGACCCUGAAAGUGGAGUCUACAAAUAUAUCCACACAAAUAAGGAGUCAUAGGUUUUUGAAUGAGGAUUGAGAUAGUCAAAGCAAUAUGGAAGGCAUAAUUAAUUCUAAUUUUAGAUUAGGAAUGGUGGGGUGUCAAGGUCACUCUUGGCUCUUGUGUGAGUGGUUAAUACAGAAUCCUACCUUUUGCUACCCUUUUUUUCAUUGUUCUGGGACUAUUUCCUCUGUUAGUGUCAGAACCCCCGCCUGUCUGUCUGUUCUGUGUGACUUCUGUGCCAAUCUUUCCUUUAGGAUUCAGGAUCCUAGAGACUUUUAUGACUCUUGCAUUUCCAAACUAGCCCGUAGGGACUUAUACGCUGCGUUUCUGUGUCCCAGUAGCAAACUUCAAGUGCAGUGUUAGCAAAACACGGCUCCCUUUUAUGACACCACGUUACUUUUAUUUAAAUAAAAACCUCCAGCCUUUGUACCCCCGAACACGCCCCGAGAUCGUGGUUAAUGAUCUGUACCAGUGAGCCCUCACAGCUGCUGGAGCCUCCACCCCCUCUACCUAACCCUAAGAAAAUGCUAAAGUUUGUUAUGAAUAAGCUCUUCCCUGUGGGGAACUCCAUUGUCUUUGAUUCUUUUUAUCACUCAUUAUGUUGAUAUCCUUGGUAUUUCUACCCUGCCGGUUUGCGUAAAUGGGUGUGACAAAGGGAUUUGAGACAUUUCCUUCAGCCUAAAUUGUAAUUCUCAUAGUGGAACAGACGAUUCACAGGUCUUUAAUCAAACACGUAUUUUUUUUUUUUUUCCUCUAUUUUGAAAGUUACAGGAGCUUGUUAGCGUUGGGCCCUCCUGUGCUUAAUGUGUGUAUUUUACUCUUGACUGCUCACCGCGUCAUUUGAGCUACUAGGUUGUGGUGAUGUGAAGUGACUUGCUUGGUUGAAUUCACUGUUUUAUUUUUUUGCUCAGUCUAGUGGAGCACUUAUUGUCAAAAUUGGACUUCGUGGCUCCCCUUUUCAUCAGCACUGGUUACGAUAAUUUAAGAAGACCUCAUAAGCCAAAGAAUAUGGUUUUUAUCCUUUUCAAUGAGUAGUCUGUAGAAAUUCUUGGUUUUAGGAGAUGCUGUUUCGCAUUUCAGUGUUCUGGCCUAGGUGAUAAACCAAUGAAGUGCAUUUCUUCGGUUUUUAGUUUUACCAGUCCUGUCUUGACCUUGACAAACCAUGAUUGGCGACUCCCUUCCUUAUUGUGGCUACGCGUUUCCUUUACCCAGUUUAGGUCAGGAGUCGCUUACCGAGCCAUUCACCCCUCCCUCCGUCCAUCAUAAAGUUGUUCUAUACCUACUGUUGUGGGCACCAUGCUAGGCACACACAGGGUCGAUCACACGGACACCCAGUCAUUUAGGUAUUUAGGUAGAGUGUUUGCAGUGGUGGUCUUUCGUUUAUUUCUCACGCUUCACAUCUUCGUUCAGGAAGGAUGAGGCCCUUUGACGAUUUCUCAUUUCAUUAUCACCCGAAAACUGCUUAGUCUUGGAAGAGAGAGCUUACCUCCGCCAACUUGAUGUCACCCCAGUUGCCUCCUACAACUAACUGGACUACUGUGUGACAGGCACUGGGAUGGGGAAAUAAAAACAUAAGGAGGACCCAAACGCAGCCCUCAGGAGUAUACAGUCUAGUUUAGAGUUUAUAGAAACAGUUACAAUCCAAAGUGACAGGACCUAUAAUAUUCAAGGUGUCGUGGGGGGUUAGAAAACCUAGCAAUGGAGUCUGCUAAGGGAUGUGGUGGGGGGGGUGUUGUUCAUGGAAGGAGAUAAGCUCGAACACUUGAGUAUGACUAGAAAUUUGCUUGGUAGACAAGGAGAGCAGGGCAUUCCAAGUGGAGAGAACAUCAUAGGAGAAACUACUGAGGCAUGAGGGAGUAUGGCCCAUUGGAGAUCUGUGCCAAGAAGUACUAAUCGAGUGAUAAAAAGGGAGCUCUGAGAAUUGCCACUGGGAAGGUAUUUCUGGCAUAGGUAUAGGCUGACGAUUCUGCAACCUGAAUCAGAGAUCGUCCUGUAUCUCCCGUGACCUGUUCCUCUUUUCCUCCGGCCUCUUCCUUCCUUCCUCAUAAAGGAACUCCGUGGCGGUGUUUAGGAGUCAUAUUUGUGUCUGUGUCACUUGAGUCGUCAUUUAAUAACUCUGUUUCUUCACUAAAAUGGGAAUAUUAACACCUGCCUUGCCUACCUCAGAGUCCAGGG